CCCGCGCGCCGCCGGCGGCCGCCAGCACGGCGCGGAGGUGGGCUCGCGGCGGCGGCGCACGAAAGGUCACCGCAGUGGCAUUCCUCUGCGUGCGCUGUUUACGUGACUUAAUGUACUUCAUGCGCCGCGGCUUGUUAUCUAGGCCACCCAAUGACCGACGAAAGAUUUUCCCUCCCUGUUUCUCCCAUGGCCGCUUUAAACCAAAUAAAUCGAGCUAUUAAGGGCCAAGAUGUCUGACAAAAGAUCGAAAGGUGUCUUUCGGUGACCGCUUAAAGAAGCGAAGGAGAAGCUUGCGGCUCACAAAUCCCGAUAAAGAAAUUCCACACCGGCGCCGGCCUCCCUCCUCGCGGCCUGGUUGCGCCCUGACACCCUGAGAUCCCGCCUUCGGCGGCCGCAGAUCUCGGACCUGUGGCCGCUGCCCGCGGAAUGUGGGUGUCCCGGGGCUGCGGGGCCUGGGAGCGCCGGGUCCUGGGGGCCGAGGCAGAUACCGGGGUUCCCGGGAACUGUGGAACCCCAGGUCGGAGCUGGGGGUCCUAAAACGGCCCCCCUGCAUGUCGCAGAAAAACCGAACUCAAAGGGCCUACAUGACGAUCCCAUUUUGAUUAUUUUACGGUACUAAAUAUAAUAAAGACAAAGCCAAACCCCCA